AAUUCCAUUAUUUUUUUAUUAUUAGAGUGAAUUUUAACUUUACUUAGAAGAGGAACUUAAUUUGUGUGUGUGUGUGUAUGACCCUGAUAAGUACCUUGUAACUCCCUGCGUGUGUAUCCUGAUAAGCCCAGAAGGCCCCACCGGAGCACACUGAUAUGAGACACUGAAGAAGCCCACCCAUGGGGUAUAAAAGAAGGACUCUCACAGCAGCAGUCAGACGCCUGUCUGCCCUCCACAGACAAGAUGUUCUCCUUGCCCCUGGAAACUGCCGUUCCUGCUCUGCUUCUGAGCCCAAACUGUUAGAGGCCUCUCUUCGUGUCAAGAGACCGAGCACCUGCAGCUGCGUACCUGACGACCUCCGUGUGUCUCUGUCAGUGAGUGUCUCCGGGUGGCCUGCCAAGGACUGAAACCCAUCAGCUCUCUGCAGAUCCCUGGUAGGCAGAC